AUCGAACGCUGGCGGCAGGCCUAACACAUGCAAGUCGAACGAACCUUUCGGGGUUAGUGGCGGACGGGUGAGUAACACGUGGGAACGUGCCUUUAGGUUCGGAAGAACGCAGGGAAACUUGUGCGAAUACCGAAUGUGCCCUUCGGUGGGAAGAGUAAUCGCCUUUAGAGCGGCCCGCGUCUUGUUAGCUAGGUUGUUGAGUUAAUGGCUCACCAAGGCGACGAGCAGCAGCUGGUCUGAGAGGAUGAUCAGCCACAUUGGAACUGAGACACGGUCCAGACUCCUACGGGAGGCAGCAGUGGGGAAUAUUGGACAAUGGGCGAAAGCCUGAUCCAGCCAUGCCGCGUGUGUUAAGAAGGUCUUCGGAUUGUAAAGCACGUUAAGUUGGGAGGAAGGGCAGUAAGUUAAGACCUUGCUGUUUUGACUUUACCAACAGAAUAAGCACCGGCUAACUUCGUG
rnacentral:rRNA from 1 species